AUGCAUCAUGAUCAUCCUAACGAGAUAAGGGAUGGGCAGCUGGUUUACAUUGAGAGGGUGGCCGGCGUCGCUAUGCUCGAAAGAGAUGGUAAGGUAGAGAACUGCCACGAGGCCGCUUUGGCGGGCAGUCAUGGAACAACAAAAGGAGACAACUACCUCAGACAUGAUCCGGUUUUUCUGCCUACGAACAUGGCGAACACCCACUGGUUCCUUGUGGUCGUAAACCCCAGAAGGAGGGAGAUUCAGAUUCUUGAUUCACUUUUCGGCUACCUAGAACGCACACAAGUGGUUCAUGUGAUACGUGGGGUGGAAGCACAUCUGAGAGCAUCUCUACGAAUCAAUGGACCACAAAGCCAUGCAUGGCAAGAAAUUAACGUGACCCAAUGGACAGUAAAGCAUUUCUUCUUGUGCACUCUACAUGCUGAAGAACAUCGAAUUCUUUAUGGGAGAAGAUCUUAG
rnacentral:rRNA from 1 species